rnacentral:rRNA from 1 species
UACGUAGGGUGCGAGCGUUAAUCGGAAUUACUGGGCGUAAAGCGUGCGCAGGUGGUUAUUUAAGUCAGGUGUGAAAGCCCUGGGCUUAACCUAGGAAUUGCGCUUGAGACUGGAUAGCUUGGAGUGCGGCAGAGGGAGGUGGAAUUCCACGUGUCGCAGUGAAAUGCGUAGAGAUGUGGAGGAACACCGAUGGCGAAGGCAGCCUCCUGGGCCAGCACUGACGCUCAUGCACGAAAGCGUGGGGAGCAAACAGG